GCGAUACAGUCGUAUGGCCAGAGACCGGAAGUUGCAUGUAAAACAUAGGGCAGUUACUUAAAUAUGCAUUUCCAAUUACGUCAUGUUGGGGAGUAAACAAAAAACAGACUCUGACUUUGGAGGGCUUGACUUGGCAUUCAAUAGUCACAUGAUAGGAAGUGACUGUAGAAACGUGGAGGGUAUCAUCUGAGCUACUGAUUGAUACCAAGUUGAAGGUGUAGAAUCGUGCUGGAGCGAAGCUACAAGCCAGUAUAUGGAACAAGGGUGUUGUAGGUGCCUUUCCUCCUGCUUCUGUAACUUUGGUUCCUCAACUGAUCACAACUUUAUAGCUGGCUAAUGUUGUUCAGAGUCUCCAAAGAUAUCACACAUGAGUUGGUUGACUUCAACGUCCAAGUGACUACCAUCGAUAUCACUGCUGACGUCGGACUGUUCAUCACUUGCACUGUCACUCGCACUGUCAAUGUCUUCCUGCUCUGCUGCUAGAGCUUCAACAGGGAGUUACAGCGUGAUGAGGAGCAUCCUGUUUUACAGCCACAGCCUUUCCGAAUCAGCGCUACUUGUUGUCUGAUUCUAGACACAUUGCUUUCACUGUCCCAAUCUAUCAUGAGGGUGUUUGGAUCAGGCUUUUUCCAGCCGAAGUCUUCCAGUGGUGGAUGGACAAUGUUGUUUGAUGCCGCUUGAUUCCAGACAGAUGAAACCCAGCUACUCCUCUUCCAAUGUCGAAGCAAUGCUUCAUGCGAGGGUGUCAUGUCCUCCUCGUACUGAAUUCUCGCCCAUAUUCUGUCUCGUAUAAGAUCAAGCCAUUGCUCAUGUCGUUGGUGAUUGCUAGCUGACUGGACUGAGUUGAACAAGGUCAUUGGAGUUGGAAAUGAAGGUGAGAAGCUAACAUCAUUAACAUUGCUCACAUCCCUCCUACAAAGCAAGCAGAUGCAGCUUUCUGGCUGUACAUUGAGAGAAGGCUCAGUGGCUUGGAGUUGCUGCAGCAGGGAAGGAUCUUUCCAGGAUUUGGGAUGGGAAAACUUGGACAGGUCUUUCUUCUUACACAGAACACAUUCUUCGCAUGAUCGGCCUGGAUGUACUGCUGAAGUUACAUGACGCGACUCUCUUCCAGCAUCUCUAGCAUCUCUAGCAGAUCUCAUUAUUCUAUUAAAUUUUAUGUUGAUAGUUUUGUUGUUGUGUGCAUUGUUUUUAUAGCUUACCAUAAGUUGGACCAGUGGUACUGGUGAAGAACU